CACGUAGUUAGCCGUGGCUUUCUGGUUAGAUACCGUCAGGGCGCUAACAGUUACUCUAGCACUUGUUCUUCUCUAACAACAGAGUUUUACGAUCCGAAAACCUUCUUCACUCACGCGGCGUUGCUCCGUCAGACUUGCGUCCAUUGCGGAAGAUUCCCUACUGCUGCCUCCCGUAGGAGUUUGGGCCGUGUCUCAGUCCCAAUGUGGCCGAUCACCCUCUCAGGUCGGCUAUGCAUCACGGCCUUGGUGAGCCGUUACCUCACCAACUAGCUAAUGCACCGCGGGUCCAUCCAUCAGCAGAAGCUUGCGCCUCUUUUCCUCUUCAAACCAUGCGGUUCGAAGACCUAUGCGGUUUUAGCAUCCGUUUCCGAAUGUUACUCCCCCUCUGAUGGGCACGGUUACCCACGUUGUUACUCCACCCGUUCGCCACUAGAUUGACCAGUGCAAGCACUGGUCGCUCUCGUUCGACUUGCAUGUAGUUAGGCACGCCGCCAGCGUUCUCCG
rnacentral:rRNA from 1 species